AUCAAACAAGCCACUGAGUCCGAACCCUGAGUCAGAUAAUUGCAGACGUCGAACUUCUUCAAAGGGAUGCAGCAAAGAAAGGUUUAGGAGAGAACUCUGUUUGCAAUACGUGAAAUCAACGAAAAGCUCGAUCACCCGUCCGCUUGUACUAUUGCACUCAAAGCCUUCCCAAAAGCAGCAGUCGUUCUUUGUGUCAUUAGUCCAAGCAGUGAGAACAAAUUCCGAUAACCCUUCUAGAGAAGUUGAGACUACGUAUUUCUUGAGAUCCAUUAAAGCCAUCCUAUCUUUCUCAGUACAGCUUUUGCAUUCGUGUAGCUGCCCCAAAACUAGCAUUACCCAUAUCAAGUAUUGACCCAAUAAUACCUUCCCUUCCAUUGCAAAUGUGAUAGAAAUAAAAAGCCAGUGAAAGAAAACUCAAAUGCAAUGUGGGACUGUGAGUUCUAUACAAGUACCCCACCUUAUAAGAACUUCGUGGAAAACACCAUGUUCAACAGUAAUAGUUGUGUAUAUAGAAAGUUGCAAUUUCAACAGUAAAGUUGUGUAUAUAGAAAGUUGAAAUUGCAACCAAUGAAAAACAUUUAAGCUCAUGCAUGUAAUAUCUGUAGCGCGACUCACAUAGUCACAUGUUAAGAAGACUCGUAUGAUAAGAAGACUCGUUUUAAUUGCGUACAAGUCGUUCGAUAUGUCUUGUGUGUGUCGUCAGUAAGUGCAAAGAUAUUAUAAAACAUGAUCCGCAACAUUUUAACAAAAAUACUUCAUAUUUUCGGAUCCAAAUUGUAAAAAAUAUCCAUGUUUUGGUUGGGAAAAAAAGAAUCUAUUUAUACUAAAUCAACAGUCACUUUAACAAAAACUGCAACACUCUCCUUUUGACAUGUGGUAAAACUCUCAAAUUUUGCUCUUUCACUUUCACGUAAUAAUCCAAUUCUACUAUUCUUGGAAAAAAAUUUGACAAAAAUAAAUAAAUAAUAUUACCAUUUUUUUAGCAACCACUACUUCCCAAUGACCUCAAAGUUAUCCCUUUUUCCAAAUCCUCUCUUACUUUAACCGAUGAAACCACUAUAACGAAAGUAAUUAACAUAUAUAUAGAUAACUUUUUAUUUUAAUCAUUAUGUAGUAUGCUCACAAUGUUUGUCGUUUUAAAAAAAAAAGUUUGUCAUCUUCCAUCAAUAACUUAUUUGUUUCAUAAUUUUGAAAUUUAACUAUUUAGAUUGUAUAAAACAUAUAUACAGUACACAGAAGAUUGUGUCCACCUAAAUUAUAUCACAAAGGGCCCAAGAUAUUAUCGACUCUGUUCUCAUGUGAUACGUUGCUUAUCAUUUGCACAAGCAUAUGGCGUUGUCGGCAGACAAGUCGAGGUCUUUUUCAUCCUUUGUAGAAAAUGAAAUAAUUAUCCGGUAAGAUUUUUUUUUGGUCAGCAUCCGAGAAGAUUGUGAUUUUAGCCAAAGAUCAUAAUCGGUGUAUGAAUCAGACAAUUUUUUUAGUACAUGCAUGAAUUUAUUUACACAUCAUUAUAAUAUGUGUAUGAACUUGACUUACUCACACAAUGUGAAUAUAAAUUGGCCGAUUUUUUUGUUUUCAAAUAUGAUGCAAAAGCAAAUGUAAAAAAUUCAAAGUCAAUGUGGGACUGUGAGUUUGUUGCACAUACCUGUACGUUUAUGAGAGUUGUAAAUUUCUGAUGAUUUGGGUGUUGACAAACUCCGAAAUAUUCCGAAACAAUAUCUGGUUGCAGUAUGGAUUGCAGGCACGUUUAUGAAAAAGCUGUGAUCCUGCAUUACUUGAAUUCUGCUGAAUUCCACUAAAUUUCCAAUGGUGACAAAGUUGCAGUUGAUGAAAAAUCCCAACCUCUACUACUUGUUAAGCAAACGAUUAUACUAAGCAAAAGCAGAAUAAAGAAAAAGGCAAAAUCCUGAAUUUUUUUAAUGACUAAAACUCUACCACUCGUUUUAAUAGCAAAACUAAUUUAUUAAAAUCAUAUACUAAGCGUGUUAUCUUCCCUGAUCUACCUAAUCUGGACAGAGAGAAACAACCGUCAUCACAGGAACAACUCCAGAGACGGGAUUGACCCCGGAAAACCUUCGCCCGAUGAAGCAGAUUAAGAGUUGCUGCAGGUGAGUAUGAGGAAUCGGUUGGUACGGACAAGCCUGAUUUAUUGGGCUUGUUACACCUUGAAUCCUUUGUUUAUGUAUGUUGGGCUGUUUAAUUUACUACAAGUAAUCGGCGAAAUUUAAUGGGCUAAAAAAGCCCUUUCUAUCUUUUCUUCACAUGCAUUUAGAUUGAAAAACGUUUUCAAAGAAAAGAAGAAGUCAUCUAACCUUUUGAACUCCGACUCGGAAGCCAACCUUACAUAAACGUCGCUACAGAUCUUGGUCACCGAAUCACUUGCCUACACGGGUAGCUAUCAUGAAUGCCAAUACUCGGGUUGUUCAUCGGGUUCCGAUGAUGAGUGAGCAAUGUGCACGGUUGGAUUGCCUCUGACAUCCAUCAGGAUCAUUAGACUAUUGCAGCGACUCCUGCCUGAUUAUAGCUACUGGUCUUUCAAAAAACAUACGCCCACUUUUGAGGCCAGUCCCAUUUUGUUCAGUUUACGAAUAUUAUGCUGCCAAAAUUCUCUACGUUCCUUACUUCUCUCAAGAUCUAUUUAAAAUCCCUCCUUGGAAUUCAAAUAUGUUCUCCAAUAGAAAGCUCUUAUGGUCACAAAAUUGGAAGUUCAUUGGCUCCUAUCAGAUUCCUAUUACGUUGGAGGAUUUCAAGUGGAUAGAAGUUCGUAGCACGAUGAUUGGUCAAGUGUGGAUGGAUGUUCAGAGUGAGAUGAUCAAUGAAGUGAAACACCGUGUUUUCAAGCCUUUUCCAAUAGAAGAAGACGAUAGAUGGGAACUCCACCAGUUUUCAAGUCCGGAUUUUAUGGAUACAGCCGUUUAUGUGAUGCAUUGCAGCGCGGUUGCAAAACCAAAACCUCUUAGAAAAAGAAAAUGGCCACAGAAACAGAGCGAAAUCGAUGCAUCAUUAUCAGAUAUAUUAAAGAAGACUACUAAGAAACCUGACAGAAAAAAGAAAAUGGUCUCACAAAGACAGAUUGAUUGAAGAACCAUUAUUAGCAGAGGAUGAAGAACCAUUAUUAGCUGAGGAUGAAGAAACUGAUUGCUUGAUGAGGUUGAUGAAGAACCAUUUUUUUUUUUUUUUUGAUAAAAAGAUUUUUAGAGUAUGUUACAGUACCCUAAUUUUACUAUAUGGAAUCCAUGUUUCGAAAAAGAAAAAGAAAAAAACUCUGACUAUGAUCUUCCCUUGAAAUAAGUUGUUAUCUUGGCAUAAAUAUAUUCUCUGUAGGCAACUGGAAGACAGAGAAUAAAUUGUCUGCAAAUGUAAAACUUCCCAGUUGGAAUAUUUUCAGAUCAUCUAUUGUGCAUUGCUGGAUAGAUCAACUAACACACAACUUCUUCUGGUACAAGAGUAACUAAGGGAUUUUCCCCAACUUUUGAAGCAUUACAUUUAUUCAAAGACUGACAAGACAGUACACAGGAGCCAAAGACAAGUUAUGCACUUGUUUUGUGAACAAAACCUUCUCAAGUAUUUUGAUUGUUCAAGUUAUGCAUUUGUUCAAGUAUUGGCUCAAGAAAAUCUCCCUCUUCUUUGGAUUGAACAAAAAAAAGUAACCAAAAUUUCGAAAUUGGAUUGUAAGUACGAUGUCCAAAUGCUACCAAUAUAAGCAUUAGCACUGCUAUUUGUCAAAGAGAAGAAAUGGUAAAACCAAGUUGCAUAAGAAUAUAUUGGCACAUCAAAGGAUACAGUAGUUAGAGACCAGAUUACAGAUACCUCUUACCAAUGUAACUCAGGAUGACAAUUUUUUCAUCUUAUGGAUAAAAGCAUCAACAACACUAAACCAAGCUCUGCUCCAAGGAGAAUAUAAAGAGAGUGAAGCGAGUAUUCCCAGAACUAUGGUCACAUAUCCAACAACAAAACUCCUUCGGAAAGAUACCAUGAAGACUGCAGCGUCAUCAUCUUCUGGUUCUUCUAGAACAUUGCUACUACUACAACUUCUGUUGGUAGGUUUUCCACAGAGAAGAGGAUUCCCAAUGUAACUGCUUUCAUCAAAGGUGUUAAACUGUCUUCCUUGCGGAAUGACGCCCGAUAGGUUGUUGUAAGAGACAUUGAAGACAGCCAGACUGCUCAUCUCUGUUAGUUUGGAUGGGAUCCGGCCUUGUAAACUGUUGAAAGAAAGGUCAAGGCUCUCCAUAUUAUCUGUUCUGGAAAAACUUUCUGGUAUGGCACCCGAUAAGUAAUUGUGAGAAAGAUUCAGCGCAUGCAGUUCCAAUAGAUCUCCAACCUCUUCCGGGAUCACACCGCUUAGCUCAUUUUCUGAGAGAUCCAACCCAAACAUAUACCUGAGACUUCCACCCAUGUAGGUGUCGUAGCGUUGUUUUGCUGCAAAUUUUAUUUUAGUCUGGAUGGCUGAGGUGUAUUCCACACUAAAAUGAUCUAACACAAGAAGAGAUUUGUAAUAUCUUCUUGAAUUUGUAGGGGUAAAGCCUUCCAUUUCCAGACCAAAAUCAUCAUAGGUAACGGAGGAAUCAUACUCAUAUGGCUCAAAAUCUUUUCCUUUACCAAAUGAUGUCUUGCUAAGACAUGAAGGUAUUGAUCCAUUCAAUCUAUUGUUAGAAAGAUCCAGAAGGCUGAUGCUUCUGAAUUCACAAACCUUUCGAGGAAUAGGGCCUGUCAACAUGUUUCCCUUCAAAAGAAGAAUACUGAUGUUUUGAGUGUUGAUGAACUCUGGGAUAUGACCAGAAAAUCUAUUGUUUCUCAGAUCAAGCACAACAACAUUUUCCAGCAAUGUGUCCGGAAUAGGCCCCGUCAGAUUGUUAUCUUGCAGAUUUAAGACAACAUUAAGCCUUGAAUUGAGGCGUGGAGGUAUGGCCCCGGAUAGCUUGUUUGCAGAGAGGUCCAAUGGUCCAAGGAAAGACAUGUUGAACACAGAAACAGGUAUUUCACCUUCCAACAAAUUGUUUGAAAUAAAUAGCAUAUGCAAGCUUAGAUCUUCCCCAAUCCAACUUGGAAUAACACCUGUGAGAUAGUUUCCUGACAUGUCAAGUAUGUUCAAUGAUCUCAAGCUCUUCAAACCGUCUCCGAUCUUUCCAGUGAACUGGUUGUUAUCUAUAAACAAUGCAAAUAACUGAGUAAAGUUUGGUGAUCUUGAAAAAAUCUCCCCACUUAGUUGGUUAUGAGACAGCUUCAAGAAUCUCAUGGAAUAGCAGCCCAUUUCAAAGCUUCUCGGUAGUUUCCCAUGGAAACUGUUGCGAGAGAUAUCAAGAAAGUACAUGUUUUCCAUGUUACCCAGAGAAGAUGGCAGAUUUCCUUGAAAACUGUUCUCCGAUAGAUUCAUAUGCUGUAAGUUAGGAAGUAUCCACCCAAUGUUCUCAGGAAAUAUUUGAUUGAACUUAUUAACUGACACAUCCAAGAAUGAAAGGUUAUGAGCAGCUUUUGGUAGCCGAAAGCUUGUAAGUGAAUUGUUCUGCAGAAGCAAAACUUCGAGUUUGGCAUUGUACUGCAAUAGCCAGGAAGGAAACAAUCCGGAAAUUAUGUUGUUGGAAAGAUCAACUUGACGCAAUUCCUUCUGAUGCAGGAGAAAUCGAGGAACCUCCUCCAAGUUGCAAUAUCGUAGUGAAAUUACACUCAGCUGAAAUUUUGGUGUCCAAGAAGUAUUCAUGUCUACUUGCAGUGAAUUUGAUUUUGAGCAAAGUGUGACCACUUUAAGCUUUGAGAGGUUGGCGAGCAAACCAAGGGAGAAGACGCCUUCGAAGUUGUUAUCAACCAGGGAUAAGUACUCAAGGGAUUUGAGGUUACCGAUAGAAGAUGGUAAUUUCCCAGUCAAUUGGUUGGAUGAGAGAUCAAGAACUCUAAGUCCACUUAAGGUAGUUAUACAUAAAGGAAACUGGCCUGAAAGUUCGCUAUCGCUGAUAUCAAGCUCUUGCAGAUUUUUCAAUUUGCAGAUACCUACGAUGAUCAAUUGAAAAAGUUCAUAAAAUCACCUAGGUUUUUACUUUAAAAUGGUACAAAAUUGAGCAAACUUGCCUUGAAAUUCCAUUGACUUGGAGAAUACAUUACUACUUAGAUCCAGUGCUUUCAGGUCUUUUAGGUGAUGAGACUCUGCCACAUGACAAACCAAGAGAUCACGAAAUAUGGACAUGAUGGCAUAAACCAAUCCAACUCUGUUAUAUGGAAAUAAUUAUGUUGAGAUUCUAGUCUAGAAAAGAAAGACAAGCAUCCAUGGAUAGUAAUGAUUACUGUAGAUGCUACCUUCUACUGAUAUGAAGUUGUUUAAACUGUUUCCACUUAGAUCUAGCAUUUCCAAGUUUGUUAAGUUUGUAAGUUCUGAAAGAAUUCCAUGAGAAUAUAAGAAAGAUAAGAAGAGAAUGUAAGGCAUAAAAAGGUCAUAUGAAUUGCAAUAUGUUAAAUGGAUCCAACCGAAGAUGCAUUGUAGGUUGCUCUAGAUAUAUACACCUUGAUAAAGAAGAUCGACAAACGCACCUUUGAGAGGAAAUGAACCAUGCACUAUAUUAUCCCGAAGAAUCAAAGUUUUGAUUGAUGUAGCGGCAUUAAGAAAGGGAAAGAUGCUGUUGUUGAAUCCAUUUGAUGAGAGAUCUAGAAUCUCCAGGUUUUUUAAUUUCCUUAGGCUUUUAUAACCUGCAAGAAAAAAAAAUCUGCUUAGCAAAUCAUACAGAGAUAAGUAUUUAAUUAAACCUAAUACUGGGGAAACCUGGUACCUUCCACAUCAUCAAACAAGGCACUGAAUCCAUACGCUCCGUCCCCAGAUAAGUCUAGACUUCGAACCUCUUCAAAGGGAUGCAGCAAAGAAAGAUUUAGUUGAGAAUCCUCUACAACAGAGGAUUUACCAGUGGAAAGUCUGAUAACCCGUCGGCUUGUACGAUUGCACUCAACACCCUCCCACCGGCAGCAAUCGCUCUUCGUGUCAUUAGUCCAAGUAUUGAAAAAAAAGUUGAAAUCCCCUUCUUCACUAAUUGAGAUUAUGUAUUUCUUGAGCUUCAACAAAGCAUUCCGUUCUUUCUGAAUGCAGCUUUUGUAUCCAUGUAGCUGCCCCAUCAGUAUCAACACCCAUAUUAAGUAUUGGCCCAAGAACACUUUCCCUUCCAUUGGUAUGAGCCAAAGAAAAAAACUGGAUUGUAAAUUUGAUGUCCAAAUAUAUUCAUGUUUACAAGCAUCUAAACUGCUGUUCGACAAAGAGAAAAAGCAAGUUGCAAAAGAAAAUAUAUAUAUGUAUAUUUACAAAGUCAAUCUUUGAAAAAGUAUCACAUACAUGUGGCGUGCUUAGCAUUAUCAUAUUCAGCAAAGCUUUAAGCAGAGCUAACAAAGAUAAAUUCUGCGACUGCAAGUAAGCUUCUGAAGUUGUAAAUUGUUUUCCUGUGUUUCUCAUUGUUCUAGUUUACUCCACCUGGGUGGGUAUAUUGCUUGAUCAAUUUCUUUUAUUGCAUUAGCUUCGGCUUUUCCUUCAAAUUUGUUCUCAACAAGCUAGAAUUUUUUUUGGUCUUGAGAAUGAGACAUCACAUUCUAUUGAAUCUGGAUUUAGGUCUUGCAUCUGUUUUUUUGGCUUUGUUUCAUCAUCUUACAUAAUUCUUGCCCUUGAUAUAAUGAUAUGGAUGUCUCUACUUACUCUCUGCUGUGUCAUGGAUUUUCAAACAAAUGUGAUAGAUGUCAUGUUUUACGUGCAGUUUCUUUAGAUUGUACAUUUCUUUAAAGACAAAGAUAGUACAUGGGAAUCAAACAGAAGUUAUGUUCUGGUUUUAUUACACAAACCAGGAGUCACUUACAAUAUAUAAUAAAUUCCUCACCUUGUGGAUGAAAGCAUCAACGGUGUCGAACCAAAAUCUUUUCCAAGGUGAAUCAAAAGAUAGAGAUGCCAAUAUUCCAACAAGUAUUGUCACAUAAGCAGCACCAAAACUCCAGUAGAAAGAUUCCAUGUCGAUUGUGGAUUCAUUAUCUUCCACUUCAUCAUCUGCUUCUUCAAAGCUAUUAUUGUUGCAGCUACGGUUGGUUGGUUGUCCACAGAGGAGACGAUUACCUAAGUAGCUUUCUGCAUCAAAUGUGUUAAACUGUCGUCCCUCUGGAAUGACUCCUGAUAAGUUGUUGUGUGAGACUUUGAAUACCGAGAGGCUGGUCAGCUCUGUUAGUUGUGCUGGGAUCCGGCCUUGUAAUCUGUUGAAAGAAAGAUCAAAGCUUUCCAUUUUCUCCAUACUUGACAAGCUUUUUGGUAUCACACCUGAUAAGUUGUUGUGAGAAAGAUUAAGAGCUCGUAGUUCCAAAAGACCUCCAAACUCUACUGGGAUCUCACCGCUCAGCUCAUUUUCUGAGAGAUCAAUUCCAAACAAUAACUUGAGAUUUCCACCCAUGUAGGCAUCAUAUCUGUGUUUUGUUGCAAAUUCGAUUUUCGUCUGUGUGGCUGCCUUGUAGUCCAUACUAAACGGAUCAAGCAUGAGCAGAGAUUUGAAAUAUAUACCGCUAUUUUUGUUGGAGGAGAGGUCUUGAUGCAGAGAAAAACCAUUGAAGACAUCAGAAGGGAAAGAAAUGCCGAAAUCAUAAUCAUAUGAUGUACAUUCUUUACCAAAACCAAAUGAUGUAUUGCUGAGACAUGAAGGUAUGGAUCCAUUCAAUCUGUUGUUAGAAAGAUCAAGAAGUUGGAUGUUGCUUAGGCCACACAACUGGUGAGGAAUUCGACCUGUUAACUUAUUCCCUCGUAGUAGAAGAAUACUAAUGUUUUGGGUGUUGAUGAACUCCGGAAUAUUUCCAGAGAAUCUGUUGUUUCUCAGAUCAAGUAUUUCGACAUUUACAAGCAAUGUGUCUGCAAUAGUACCUGAUAAAUUAUUGUCUUGCAGGAGUAACACUACCCCGUCUCUGGAAUCGUGGUGUGGAGGUAUGCCCCCAGAUAAACUGUUUGUUGAGAGGUCUAGCAGCUGGAGACUUGAUUUGUUGAACAACGACGUUGGUAUUUCACCUUUCAAGAAGUUAUCUGAAAUCAGAAGUGCAGUUAAGGAUGGAAGCUCGCCAAUCCAACUUGGAAUAACACCCGUGAGAUUGUUGUUUGACAUGUCAAGCAGUUCCAAGUUUAUCAAGCUCCGCAAACCUUGUCCAAUCUUUCCAGUAAACAGAUUGUUAUCCAUAAACAACCCCAAUAAACUAGUUAAGUUGGUUGAUUCUGGAAAAAUCUCUCCACUUAGUUUGUUAUGUGACAGCUUCAAGAUUGCCAUGGAAUAACAACCAUUCACAAAACUUCUUGGUAACUUCCCGUGGAAACUGUUGUGAGACAGGUCCAGAUAUUGGAGACCCUUCAUGUUACCAAGAGAAGAUGGCAGAUUUCCCUGAAAAUCAUUCUUAUAUAUAUUCAUAUACCGUAAAUGAGGAAAAAUCCACCCAAUGUUCUCAGGAAAAAGAUGGUUGAAUUCAUUAGCUGACGCAUCGAGGAAAAGCAGAUCAUGAGCAGAUUUAGGUAUCUGAAAGCUUGUAAAGAAAUUAUUCUGUAGAAGCAGAACUUUGAGUUUUGUAUUGUUCGCCAACAGCCAAGAAGGAAGCUUUCCAGAGAUUUUAUUGUUUGAGAGAUCAACAUGACGCAAAUCCUUCUGGUGUAUGAGAAAAUGAGGAACCUUCUCCAUGUUGCAAGAGCGUAGCGCGAUAACACUCAGCUGAAAUUUUGGCUUCCAAGAACUUUCUGACAAUACUUGAAGAGAGCUGGAUUUUGAGCAAAGUUUCAACACCAUUAGGUUUGAGAGGUUGGCGAGUGAACCAAAUGAGAAGGAACCUUCAAAGUCGUUAUCAAACAACGACAAGUACUCAAGGGAUGGAAGGCUACCGAGAGUAGAUGGAACCGUCCCAGUUAAUUGGUUCGAUGAAAGAUCAAGAACUCGAAGUCCAGUCAAGCUAGUUAAACAUGAGGGGAAAUGGCCUACGAGUUGGUUUUGACUGAGAUCAAGCUCUUGCGUAUUCUUCAAUUCACAAAUCCCUGCAAUGGCCAAAUGCCGAAGUUUUAGUCACUUAAUAAACGUGAAUGCACCACUCUUGAAGAUUAGUGGAGAACUUGCCUUGCAAUUCCAUUGAGCCAGAAAAUUCAUUGCCACUUAGAUCCAGAGCUUUCAGCUUCCUUAGACUAGAUAACUCUGCCAGAAGACAAAACCAUAUAUAUGUAAGGUAAAGAACUUUAGAUACGAAUGUGAUGAGCUCAAGGAUUAUAUAAACCUUUCAAACAAUGUUGUUUUUAGCCGUUAAAUCUAUUAAGUUUCCACUAUAGAAAAGAAAGGCAAGCAUUUUUAAAAUAAAAAACUUACCUUGUAUUGGUAUGGAGCCGUUAAAUCUGUUUCUACUCAGGUCUAGUAAUUCCAAGUUUGUCAAAUCUCUAAGUUCUGAAAGGGCAUCCAACAAAAAAGAAUGGUACAUACUGAAAUUAAUUAAAGACAUACAAACUCUACAGCAAUAUUAUGAUCAAUAGAAAGGUCAUGCUAGAUGGUAUGAUUUAGUUUUAGAGUGUAGAGAUACCUUUAGCAGGAAAAGAGCCAACCAUGUUAUUGGACCUAAGAAACAGAGUUGUGAGUGAUGUAGCGGCACUAAGAAAAUGAAAGAUGCUGUUAUUGAAUUUAUUUGAAGAAAGAUCCAGAAUCUCCAACUUUCUUAAUCUUCUGAGGCUUUUAUAACCUGCAAACGAGAAUCUUGUUAACAUUGUAUAUGAAAAUAACAUAGAUCACUCUAAUCAAUAAUUAUAAUAUUAUGAGAGAUUGUGAACGUUUGAUGUCUCUCAUUGCAACAUGCAACAUGGCUCAGCAAGUAAAUGCAGAAACAAGAAAAGCUAAGCACUUUACUAUCAGAAGAUAUUGACUUUCUUGAUCUUAAAAAAAAUGAACUAAGAAUUAGUCCACACAGGGAAAAGAUCAAAGUGGCAAUUCAACACAAAAAUGUUAAAAGUAAUCAUUAGGGAAAGAAUGGUAUACCUUCCACAUCAUCAAACAAGCCACUGAAUCUGGAGCUUGAUAAGUUCAGACUUCGAACAUCUUCAAAGGGAUGCAACAAAGAGAGGUUUAGGAGAGAAUUAUCUUUCAGGCUCAAUCCACCAAAGGCAAUCUCGGUCACCCGUCCGCUUACACGAUUGCACGCAACGCCCUUCCAUCGGCAGCAAUCACUGGUUGUAUCAUUGGUCCAAGUAGGGAGAACAGAGUCGGAUUGGUCUUCUUCAGUUCUUGAGAUCAUGUAUUUCCUGAGCUCGAACAAAGCGUUCCUUUCUUUAUCAAUACAACUUUUGUAUCCAUGUAACUGCCCCAUCAGUAGCAUCACCCAUAUCAGGUUUUGACCCAAGAACACCUUCCCUUCCAUUGCAAAUGUGAUGAAAUAAAAAGAAGAGAAGCAAAUCUAUGAAACUCAAACGCAAUGUAGUUAUAUACAAGUUGUAUCUCCACGUAAAAGAAUUUCAACAAAUAAUAUUGGAUUGUUUAUAUUUACAAAGUUGAAGUUUCUAUUACUUAAAACAGUUAAGAUUCAUGUGAUCACAUUCGUUUAGUCUUAUAGUACCUUUGAAAUUUGAAUCAUUCAAUGAAUAUUUUAAUGAUUUUUGUUGAAAAUGCCUCCUAAUAUUUAUUUCCCAGGCUUAUAUGAUUCAAUGAAUAAAGUCCUGGCCAUUGAAUUCUGCUGAACAACCACUAGACUUGAGGAAAGACCAACGGUGACGGAGUUGAUGAGGCUCUCUUGGCCUCCUGAAAGUCUGAAACAGAGGUUGACGUCGUUUUUCUUGAUAUUUAAAUGGCGUCGUUGUAGUGGCGUCGAUGUCGUUUUUCUUGAUAUUUUAACGGCGUCGUUGUAGUGGCGUCGAUGUCGUUUUUCUUGAUAUUUUAACGGCGUCGUUGUAGUCUUUUCGAAGAAAAUCUAUAGUCAACCUCUGUGACUACUCUCCAAGCUUCGAAGAAAACAAAUUUACAACUAGUCAUCCAAAUAAAGGAAAUAAAUUAGUUGUUAAAAAUAAAAUUGUUUUCCUUUUACUAAUGAACAAGUUUAUAAAAAAUGAAUCGUGAAAAAAAAAAUAAGAGUAAGUUUUCAAUAGUUUAUGGAUAUAAUUCCUCUAUGAUCUUCUUGACUGCACAACCAUCAAACUGGAUUGUAGAUUUGAUGUCCAAAAACCUCCAAGCUUACAGGUUAGAAGGACUAACCUGUUAAUUAACAAAGAUAAAUUCGAAAAGUUAAGUUGCAUAAGAAUAUAUUGCAAAAAAAAAAAAGAAAAAAAAAAGGGUCAAAAACUCUAUGUGUAAAGCCGAGUACAUUUAGGAUUACUUCUAACAAACACAGAGAAGCAACUUGAAAUUAAAGGUAACUUUUCAUUUAUCAUUGGUAUGUGUACUGUUUCUUUCUACUAUGAAAUUGUUUCAUGAAGAAAUUCAUGUGUUACUGUAGAUUAUGAAUUAAACCAGUUCCAAGAUAUGAUUGAGGCAUUACUUUUAUUCAAAGACAGUACAAAGGAACCAAAACAUAGGUUAUGUUCUGGUUUUGUGAAACAAAGCAAGAAGUUUGAGAAGACUUAACACCAGAUGGAGACGACAAUGAAAAAAAAAAAUCACAUAAGGAGCGUUUGGCAGCUGCAGUGUUUACCAAAACAAACCCCUCACCUUGUGGAUGAAGCAAUCAACGAUGUAGAACCAAGUUCUGCUCCAAUGAGAAUCAAAAGAUAGUGAUGCGAGUAUCCCAAGAAGUAUGGUCACAUAGGCUGCACCAAAACUCCAGUAGAAAGAUACCAUGUCGAUUGUGGAUUCAUCAGCUUCCACUCCAUUAUCUGGUUCUUCAAAGUUAUUGCUGUUGCAGCUUGUGUUGGUUGGUUGUCCACAGAGAAAAGGAUUACCAAAGUAGCUUUGUGUAUCAAAUGUGUUAAACUGUCUUCCUUGUGGAACAACUCCUGAUAAGUUGUUGAAUGAGACAUUGAAGACGGCUAGGCUGCUCAGCUCUGUUAGUUCUGGUGGGAUCCGACCUUGUAAUCUGUUGAAAGAAAGAUCAAGGUUUUCCACAUUCUUCAGACCUGAAAAGGUUUAUGGUAUCACUCCUGAUAAGUUGUUGUGAGAUAGAUUGAGAGCUUGUAGUUUCAGAUGAUCUCCAAACUCUACUGGGAUCUCACCGCUCAGCUCAUUUUCUGAGAGAUCCAUUCCAAACAAUAAUUUGAGAUUUCCACUCUUGUAGGCAUCAUAUCUGUGUUUUGUUGCGAACUCGAUUAUCGUCUGGGCGCUUAACUCGUAAUUGAUGGUAAACUCAUCUAGCAUGAGCAGAGAUUUGAAAAAUAUAGCGCCAUAUGAUGUUUCCUCAGAAAAAAAUGACAUGAUUAUAAUCGUAUGAUGUAUCCUCUUUCGCCAAACCAAAUAAUGCAUUGCGAAGACAUGAAGGUACGGAUCCAUUUAAUCUGUUGUUAGCAAGAUCCACGAGGUGAAUGCUUCUUAGGGCACACAACUGGCGAGGAAUACGGCCUGAUAAAUUAUUCCCUCGGAGAAGAAGAAUUCUGAUGUAUUUGGUGUUGAUGAACUCUGGAAUAUUCCCAGACAAUCUGUUAUUUCUUAGAUCAAGCACAAUGACAUUUGCUGCUAGCAUUGUAUCUGGAAUAACCCCUGAUAAAUUAUCGUCUUGCAGGAGUAACACUGUUAAUGCCCCAUAUCCAGAAAUGGCUUGAGGUAUGUUCCCUGAUAACCUGUUUGCAGAUAGGUCCAGUAAUUGAAGAUUGGAUAAGUUGAACAACGAUGUAGGUAUUUCACCUUUCAACAAGUUGUUAGAAAUCUGUAGUGCAGAUAAAUCUGGAAAUUCGUCAAACCAACUUGGAAUAAGACCUGUGAGAUUGUUGUUCGAAAUGUCAAUCACAAACAAAGAUCUCAAGCUCCGCAAACCUCUUCCAAUCUUUCCUGUAAACAGAUUGUUAUCCAUAGACAGCUCUAGCAUAAAAAAAAAAGUGUGCUGAUUCUGGAAAAAUCUCUCCACUUAGUUUGUUAUGUGCCAACUUCAAGAACUCUAAGGAACAACAACCCUUCAAAAAACUUCUUGGUAGCUUACCAUGGAAACUGUUGUGAGACAUAUCCAGAAAUUCAAUCAUUUCCAUGUUACCCAGAGAAGAUGGCAGAUUUCCUUGAAAACCAUUAUUCGUUAGAUUCAUAUAAAGUAAGCGAGGAAGUAUCCACCCAAUGUUCUGAGGAAAGAGUUGAUCAAAUUCAUUAACUGAAACAUCCAGGUAAAGGAGAUUAUGAUCAGACUGCGGUAGCUGAAAGCUUGUAAAAGAGUUAUCCUGUAGAAGCAAAACCUCGAGUUUUAUAUUGUUCUCCAAAAGCCAUGAAGGAAAAUUUCCAGAAAUAUUAUUGUUAGAGAGAUCAACAUAACGCAAAUCCUUCUGGUAUUGGAGAAAAUGAGGAACCUUCUCCAAAUUGCCAGUUCCUAGUGAAAUAACACUCAACUGAAAUUUUGGCUUCCAAGAACUUUCCAACUCUACUCUACGUGAGUUGGUAUAUGAAUCAAGCCUGAGCACCUUAAGCUUUGAGAGGUUGGCGAGCCAACCAAGUGAGAAUAAGCCUUCGAAGUUGUUAUCAAACAGUGAUAGGUACUCAAGGGAUUCAAGGUUAGCGAGAGCAGAUGGUACGUUCCCAAUCAAUUGGUUCGAUGAGAGAUCAAGAACUCGAAUUCCAGUCAAGUUAGUUAUGCAUAAAGGAAACUGACCUACAAGCUUGUUUUUACUGAGAUCGAGCUCUUGAAUAUUCGUUAAUUCACAAAUCCCUGCAAUGACCAAAUGCAGAAUUUUUAGUCACUUGACUAAACGUGAAUCAACCACAAUUUUUUUAUUGCCACUUAGACUCAGAGCUUUCAGCUUCCUCAGGGCAGAUGAUAACUCUACCACAAGACAAAACCACACAAAGGUGAACAACUUUAAAUACGAACAGGAUGAUAUAUAAACCAAUCCAACAAUGUUGUUUGCAGCCCUUUAAUCAAUUAACUUUCCACUCUAGAAAAGAAAGCAAAGCACUUAUGGACAACUACCUCGUACUGGUAUGGAGCAGUUAAAUUUGUUUUCACUUAGGUCCAGUACUUCCAGGUUUUUCAAAUCUCUGAGUUCUGAAAUGGAGGUCAACAAAUUUAUGACACAAAAAAGUUAUGACAACAAUUUUAAAUUGCAUCAAUCUAGCAAAAGAUACAUCAUCAAGAAUAUGCCUGCUAGAUAGUAUUGACUUGGAUAAGAAUGGAGAAAUAUACCUUUAACAUGAAGAGGGCCAUCCAUCCAGUUCGACUUAAGAAACAGAGUUGUGAGUGAUGUAGCCGCAUUAAGAAAAGGAAAGAUGCUGUUGUUGAAUUUACUAAAAGAAAGAUCCAGAAUCUCCAACUUUCUUAAUCUUCUAAGGAGGGGUUAUUGGUUCAUAGAUUUAUAUGGAAUUAGAAAUCCAAACAAAAAUCAUUUGUUAUUCAAUCAUUGAUUUUAAAAUCCUAAUUAAAUUCAUGUGUUAUUGGUUCUAUGAUUUAUAAAUACUAGUUAAAAUCUUAUGUUAUUCGUUUAGUCAUUUGUUUUUGGAUUUGAGAAUCCAAAUUAUGUUUUAAAUGGAAUUGAAUGGAAUUGAAAGAGAAAAAUAGAAGGAUUCAAAUCCAUGGGUAAACACAUGUUAUUUCAAAAUCCAUAUAUCUUGAUUUCAUAAUUAAUAGAAAUUUUCAAAUUCUAUAUGGAUUUACAAAUUAACAAACUAAUAUAAGAGAAUUAUCUUUCAGGCUCACUCUAAUCACUUCAAUAUAUUCAUUAUCAGAUUAAUCUGCUCUACAUGCAAAUGAAGAUUAUGAGAGUUGCACUGCAUGGACUUCGGAAGAAAACAUGAGUGAUAGUUGAAUGUAAUUUUGUGCUACAUGGGAUAGAUUUAGUUAUCAUCAAGUUAGUUAAUUCAGAUCUAUUACUUUUUGAUGUAGGGCCAAAAUCGAAGUAUAAUCAUUUUAAACGGUAUCAACUUUCAACAAAUGAAACCAAAGAAAUAUGGUAAAGCUCAACUAGAAAUGGAACAUGUCAAUGCGGCAAAAAAGUUUCCAAAUAGAGACCACAAGAGGUAAGAAAAUAAACACUGGGAGAAACUCUGGUCAUACCUUCCACAUCAUCAAAUAAGCCAAUGAAUCCCGAAUACUUUAAGUUUAGACUUCGAACUUCUUCAAAGGGAUGCAGCAUAGAAAGGUUUAGGAGAGAACUCUCCGCUUGUAGGAUUGCACUUGAUUUCCUCCCACCGGCAGCAAUCGCUAUUUGUGUCAUUAGUCCAAGUAGUGAGAAGAGGCUCUUGCUCCCAUUCUACCCUCCUUGGGAUCAUGUAUUUCUUGAGCUCCAACAAAGCAUUCUUUUCUUUCUCAAUACAGCUU
rnacentral:lncRNA from 1 species